AGUGAACGCUGGCGGUAGGCCUAACACAUGCAAGUCGAACGGCAGCACAGUAAGAGCUUGCUCUUACGGGUGGCGAGUGGCGGACGGGUGAGGAAUACAUCGGAAUCUACUUUUUCGUGGGGGAUAACGUAGGGAAACUUACGCUAAUACCGCAUACGACCUACGGGUGAAAGCAGGGGAUCUUCGGACCUUGCGCGAUUGAAUGAGCCGAUGUCGGAUUAGCUAGUUGGCGGGGUAAAGGCCCACCAAGGCGACGAUCCGUAGCUGGUCUGAGUGGAUGAUACGCUACACUGAAACUGAGACCCGGCCCAGACUCCUGCGGGAGGCAGCGGUGUGGAAUAUUGGACAAUGGGCGCAAGCCUAAUCCAGCCAUACCGCGUGGGUGCAGAAGGCCUUCGGCUUGUAAAGCCCUUUUGUUGGGAAAGAAAAUCAGCAUAUUAAUACCCCACUGUUCUGACGGUACCCAAAGAAUAAGCACCGGCUAACUUCGUG
rnacentral:rRNA from 1 species